rnacentral:rRNA from 1 species
GACGAACGCUGGCGGCGUGCUUAACACAUGCAAGUCGAACGGAAAGGCCCUGCUUUUGUGGGGUGCUCGAGUGGCGAACGGGUGAGUAACACGUGAGUAACCUGCCCUUGACUUUGGGAUAACUUCAGGAAACUGGGGCUAAUACCGGAUAGGAGCUCCUGCUGCAUGGUGGGGGUUGGAAAGUUUCGGCGGUUGGGGAUGGACUCGCGGCUUAUCAGCUUGUUGGUGGGGUAGUGGCUUACCAAGGGUUUGACGGGUAGCCGGCCUGAGAGGGUGACCGGCGACAUUGGGACUGAGAUACGGCCCAGACUCCUACGGGAGGCAGCAGUGGGGAAUAUUGCACAAUGGGCGGAAGCCUGAUGCAGCAACGCCGCGUGCGGGAUGACGGCCUUCGGGUUGUAAACCGCUUUCGCCUGUGACGAAGCGUGAGUGACGGUAAUGGGUAAAGAAGCACCGGCUAACUACGUG